AGUGAACGCUGGCGGUAGGCCUAACACAUGCAAGUCGAACGGCAGCACAGUAAGAGCUUGCUCUUACGGGUGGCGAGUGGCGGACGGGUGAGGAAUACAUCGGAAUCUACUUUUUCGUGGGGGAUAACGUAGGGAAACUUACGCUAAUACCGCAUACGACCUACGGGUGAAAGCAGGGGAUCUUCGGACCUUGCGCGAUUGAAUGAGCCGAUGUCGGAUUAGCUAGUUGGCGGGGUAAAGGCCCACCAAGGCGACGAUCCGUAGCUGGUCUGAGAGGUUGAACAGACACACUGGAACUGAGACAAGGUCCAGACUCCUACGGGAGGCAGCAGUGGGGAAUAUUGGACAAUGGGGGCAAGCCUGAUCCAGCCAUACCGCGUGGGUGAAGAAGGCAUUCGGGUUGUAAAGCCCUUUUGUUGGGAAAGAAAAGCAGCAGGUUAAUACCCCGCUGUUCUGACGGUACCCAAAGAAUAAGCACCGGCUAACUUCGUG
rnacentral:rRNA from 1 species